rnacentral:rRNA from 1 species
AUGCCAGCCUGGUCGGCGUCAUGGCGUGCAACUACCAACCCUGACCUACCACUACAUAAGCACGCGCUGCACCGUGUUCACAUUAUGCCUAGUACCAACACCCUAGCCGGUCCAUGUUUUCUUCAAGGUGAUAAUAUGCAUCCAACAACUUCCCUUCCCCGAGGCCCCAACCAAAAACGGCGGUUUCGUCUUCCUCACGCCCAUGCAACAAGAGAUAGGAAGCACCAAAAGCCAGAUGAGAUUGGAGGACAAGGUGCUCAAGGUAGGAGUUUGGAGGAGUCUUGGAACCAGGUGAUGUCUAGGAUCUUCGACGACCUAUCCGACUUCGAUGACGAGGCGGAAGACCGAGUAAACAGUGGCCGCAAGGUCACCGGGGUGAACGCCAAGAAUCACGCUGGUGGUGAUGACGACCACCAGAACCACAACCAUCGCAAUUGCCUUCCAACCCCUGGCACAACAAAGCACGCCUACAAGUCUAACAACCGCCGCCUCCAUGGCAACCGAUGGGAAGAUGGGAAACCUAAAAGCCAUGGGUCUGUUGGCUUAGCCAAGCAAAGUGUAGGUGAAGCUCAUCAUGUGGUACUUGGCUAUCACAACAUGCGAGGCAAAAAGGAAGUCAUGAAUAGUGAAAAGGAAGGCCAUCACCAAAGAACAGAAACCAGUAGAACAAAGAUUAUUGGCUCUGAAUCCGAGGGGUCUAAAUACAAUUGCAACGUUGAUGAAGAUCGUAAAGAUGAAGAAGUGAAACAAAUAAGAAAAAUAGGGCUGCAUGAAGUUCUUCGCAAUGUUUCUGAUGAUAUUUAUGAGAAUGGCCACGCCUUAUAUGGUGAUACUGAGGAUGUCAAUAGACCGCCUACCGAGGGAGAAGGCCAUUGUGCGAAUAUUCUACAACCAAAUGAUGUAACUCGUGGCAAAGAUAUGUGUUAUGAAAGAGAGUCCAAACAUUGUUUAACUGGUCCUCCGCUGAACUUGGUGGUUCCACAUAUACCACCACCUGGUCAACCUGAUCAGUUAAAAGUAAUCAAGGUCUCAAAUGUCGUGGGGAUUAAUCCAAAACCUUUCGAUCCUGAAACGUACAUGGAAGAGGAUGACUUCAUUACCGAUGAAUCUAAGGGCAAGAAAAGUGUGCAUACAGAUGUUGUCCGUUGCAGAAGGGCCAAGAAUGCUGAUGGCACUGAAUCUCUUGAAAGCAAUGCACGUUUUGUCCAGUGGAAAGAUGGAAGCAUGCAACUACUGAUUGGUCACGUGGCUCUUGAUGUAUCUAUAGAAGAGUCAAGUCAGCAUACCCACUUGUUUAGGAAGAAUGGAAAGGGGCUUCUACAGUCACAAGGAAGGCUUUUACAGAAGAUGAGAAUUAUGCCGCCCGAGUCAUCUUCAAGAUCUCAUAGCUCAUUAACAGCUCCUGUUGAUUCUCAGAAUGAGAAAACAAUUAAGGUGCAAACAUGGUAUGAUAAAAAAUAUCCUGAGAGAAUGAAGCAAGAAAGGGAAAGGGAUGAAGCACCUAGCUCGUGGUAUAAUCCUCAUGGAAGGGUGGCACACAGUGGUUUUGAGCAUAACUUGGAGUUUGAAGCACUGGCUCAGAGACGUAUAAUCAAUGCAAAGGUCCAUGAGUAUUCUGACAGUGAAAGUGAGGAAUUAGAGUAUGGAACAGAAUUCAAGGAUAUAGAGAGCUCACCAAGACAUGAAAGGGAAUAUGAACUGGAUGAAAAUAAUGUAUAUGAUAAAGACCUAGAUGUUUCUUCUCUGCCAAAUGAAGAGAUUGAGGGACCAGAGCAUAAGAGGGGACCUAGGAAGGGCAGGGUGAUCGACUUCGGUGAGGAAUUAUAUCCACCAAAGAAACGAUUUCUCAAUCGUUGGAGAAGGCAGUUGUUAUUGACAGCGAUGAUGAGUGAGAAGAACUGCCAGCACCAAACAGAACAGUCAAAGCGCUACUGA